GACUCUUUAUGAGGCUUUGAAGACCAUUCCAAAGGGCUUUUCCUCAAGCCGUAAGGCCUCAGAUGGCAACUGCACGUUGCCCAAAGAUUCCCCAGGGGAGCCCUGUUCACAGGAAUGCAUCAUCCUUCAGCCCUUGAAUAAAUGCUCUCCAGACAAUAAACCAUCAUUACAAAUAAAAGAAGAAAAUGCUGUCUUUAAAAUUCCUCUACGUCCACGUGAAAGUUUGGAGACUGAGAAUGUUUUAGAUGACAUAAAGAGUGCUGGUUCUCAUGAGCCAAUAAAAAUACAAACCAGGUCAGACCAUGGAGGAUGUGAACUUGCAUCAGUUCUUCAGUUAAAUCCAUGUAGAACUGGUAAAAUAAAGUCUCUACAAAACAACCAAGAUGUAUCCUUUGAAAAUAUCCAGUGGAGUAUAGAUCCGGGAGCAGACCUUUCUCAGUAUAAAAUGGAUGUUACUGUAAUAGAUACAAAGGAUGGCAGUCAGUCAAAAUUAGGAGGAGAGACAGUGGACAUGGACUGUACAUUGGUUAGUGAAACCGUUCUCUUAAAAAUGAAGAAGCAAGAGCAGAAGGGAGAAAAAAGUUCAA
rnacentral:lncRNA from 1 species